rnacentral:rRNA from 1 species
AGUGAACGCUGGCGGUAGGCCUAACACAUGCAAGUCGAACGGCAGCACAGUAAGAGCUUGCUCUUACGGGUGGCGAGUGGCGGACGGGUGAGGAAUACAUCGGAAUCUACUUUUUCGUGGGGGAUAACGUAGGGAAACUUACGCUAAUACCGCAUACGACCUACGGGUGAAAGCAGGGGAUCUUCGGACCUUGCGCGAUUGAAUGAGCCGAUGUCGGAUUAGCUAGUUGGCGGGGUAAAGGCCCACCAAGGCGACGAUCCGUAGCUGGUCUGAGAGGAUGAUCAGCCACACUGGAACUGAGACACGGUCCAGACUCCUACGGGAAGCAGCAGUGGGGAAUAUUGGACAAAGGGCGCAAGCCUGAUCCAGCCAUACCGCGUGGGUGAAGAAGGCCUUCGGGUUGUAAAGCCCUUUUGUUGGGAAAGAAAAGCAGCAGGUUAAUACCCCGCUGUUCUGACGGUACCCAAAGAAUAAGCACCGGCUAACUUCGUG